rnacentral:rRNA from 1 species
UACGGAGGGUGCAAGCGUUAUUCGGAUUUACUGGGCUUAAAGGGUGCGUAGGUGGGUCUGAAAGUCAGUGGUGAAAUCUCCGGGCUUAACCUGGAAACUGCCAUUGAUACUUCAGGUCUUGAAUUUUCUGGAGGUUAGCGGAAUAUGUCAUGUAGCGGUGAAAUGCUUAGAUAUGACAUAGAACACCAAUUGCGAGGGCAGCUAACUGGGGGGAUAUUGACACUGAGGCACGAAAGCGUGGGGAUCAAACAGG